rnacentral:tRNA from 1 species
GCGAAAAGAGCUCGGUAAGGUUUGAGCAAUAGAUUGUGGAUCUAAAGGUCAAGGGUUCAAAUCCCUUUUUUCGCC